rnacentral:rRNA from 1 species
AUCGAACGCUGGCGGCAGGCCUAACACAUGCAAGUCGAGCGGAUGAAGGGAGCUUGCUUCUGGAGUCAGCGGGGGACGGGUGAGUAAUGCCUAGGAAUCUGCCUGGUAGUGGGGGAUAACGACCGCAAACGGGCGCUAAUACCGCCUACGUCCUGAGGCAGAAACAGGGGGAUCUUCGGACCUCACGCUAUCAGAGGAACCUACGCCGGAUUAGCUAGUUGGUGGGGUAAAGGCCUACCAAGGCGACGAUCCGUAACUGGCCUGAGUGAAUGAUCAGCCACCCGGGAACGUGAACACGCUCCCGGGUCCUGCGAGACGGCGCAGUCUGCAAUAGUGGACAGUAGGCGAAAACCUUGUCCAACCGUGCCGAGUCUGUUGAGAAGGUCUUGCGGUUGUAAAGAACUUUAUGUUGGGGGGAAGCGCAGUAGGUUAUUACUUUGCUGUUUUGACGGUACCAGCAGAAUAAGCACCGGCUAACUACGUG